AUUGAACGCUGGCGGCAGGCCUAACACAUGCAAGUCGAACGAGUGGCGGACGGGUGAGUAAUGUCUGGGAAACUGCCUGAUGGAGGGGGAUAACUACUGGAAACGGUAGCUAAUACCGCAUACCAUCGGAUGUGCCCAGAUGGGAUUAGCUAGUAGGUGGGGUAAAGGCUCACCUAGGCCACGAUCCCUAGCUGGUCUGAGAGGAUGACCAGCCACACUGGAACGUAGAAACGGUCCAGACUCCUACGGGAGGCAGCAGUAGGGAAUAUUGCACAAUGGGCGCAAGCCUGAGGCAGCCACGCCGCGUGUAUGAAGAAGGCUUUCGGGUCGUAAAGUACUUUCAGCGGGGAGGCGUUACCCGAAGAGGAAGCACCGGCUAACUCCGUGCCAGCAGCCGCGGUAAUAC
rnacentral:rRNA from 1 species